UAUGUGUUCUGAACCAAAACGGUGCAUUUAAUCAGUAGCUAAGGUCAUGGCCUUUUUUAUUAUUAUUAUUUGAAAGAAAAAAAAGAAACGUUAUGUUCAAAUGUGAAAAGAUCUAAACAAAUUUCAUUAAAAAACAUAAAAACAAAAAAUCUUUGAAGGACUACCUGAAUCUGUGAGGAUUCAAAUGGAAUCACCUUUAAAUUUGUGCUCGCUAUUUGGCCAUACCCUAUCUAGGAUGAUGGCUGUUUGAUAUUCGACAGCAGGCAAACAUUAAAGGGAAAAUUUCGCAAAUAGUACACCAAGUAAAGGCCACUAAUAAUUCUUAUACAUAAAGUUCCAAACCAAACAUUUCGGUACACGAAAUCUGAAACUCGACCCACUAUCAGUACACAACGUCAAUUUUUGACACAAAAAUGUCCAUUAUGCCCUCAGUUCUUUUUUUUUUUAAUAAUUUUUUUUCUGUUAUUUUUUUUUUCCUUCGUUUUUAUCUCUUUCUUCCUUCUUCCGGGCUAACUCCCUCGCUUCCAACGCCGCCUUCCUCACCUCCACGCUCACUCCCUCGCUUCCAACACCGCCCUUGCCCUCCAAUUGAACGCCCAUUCCUCCACCCGAGAACAGGUCCAGUUGAGAGAGGUGACAUUGCAGGAGAAAAAUGCUGCAUAUGAAAAGGCUAUAUCAAACUGUGAAAGUAAAAUACAGGAGAAGAUUGAGGAAGCGGAGUUACUUAGGAGGAAGUUAGAGGAAUUAGAGGACACUGAAAAGAAUUUGAGAGAUGAGCUGGAAAAUGCACCAACAGCAUUGGAUACCAGUCGAUCUCGCGGAUCAGAUGAAGCUGUUGGCAACUCCAAAACAUCAGUUGAAACUGGAGAUGACAUGGAAUCAUCAAAGAAAGCUAUACUAGACAAGUUAGAGGAGAGGAAAAGAGAAUUGGUUCAUUGCUCUUUCUUUUGAUCAUAAAAUUUUCUCACAUCUUGUUCUUUUUUCAGAGUGCGUGUGCACCUGUGUUAACUUAUUUUGGUGGCUGAGAAGUUAAUAGAGGUGGGUGAGAUCGGGCUCCUUCUCACAUGAAAACAGAGGUGGGUUUCGUGGAGCCGGAAGAAGGAAGAAGAAAGAGAUAAAAACGAAGGAAAAAAAAAUAACAGAAAAAAAAAAUUUAAAAAAAAAAAAAAGAACUGAGGGCAUAAUGGAUAUUUUGGUGUCACAAAUUGACGUCGUGUACUGAUAGUGGGUCGAGUUUCAGAUUUCGUGUACCGAAAUGUUUGGUUAGGAACUUUAUGUAUAAGAAUUAUUAGUGGCCUUUACUUGGUGUACUGUUUGUGAAAU